rnacentral:rRNA from 1 species
CUACGGGCCGCUGCAGUGGGGAAUAUUGCACAAUGGGCGCAAGCCUGAUGCAGCCAUGCCGCGUGUAUGAAGAAGGCCUUCGGGUUGUAAAGUACUUUCAGCGGGGAGGAAGGGAGUAAAGUUAAUACCUUUGCUCAUUGACGUUACCCGCAGGAGAAGCACCGGCGAACUCCGUGCCAGCAGCCGCGGUAAUACGGAGGGUGCAAGCGUUAAUCGGAAUUACUGGGCGUAAAGCGCACGCAGGCGGUUUGUUAAGUCAGAUGUGAAAUCCCCGGGCUCAACCUGGGAACUGCAUCUGAUACUGGCAAGCUUGAGUCUCGUAGAGGGGGGUAGAAUUCCAGGUGUAGCGGUGAAAUGCGUAGAGAUCUGGAGGAAUACCGGUGGCGAAGGCGGCCCCCUGGACGAAGACUGACACUCAGGUGCGAAAGCGUGGGGAGCAAACAGGAUUAGAUACCCCUGUAGUC